rnacentral:rRNA from 1 species
AUUGAGCGCUGGCGGCAUGCCUUACACAUGCAAGUCGAACGGUAACAGGUCUUCGGAUGCUGACGAGUGGCGAACGGGUGAGUAAUACAUCGGAACGUGCCUAGUAGUGGGGGAUAACUACUCGAAAGAGUGGCUAAUACCGCAUGAGAUCUACGGAUGAAAGCAGGGGAUCGCAAGACCUUGUGCUACUAGAGCGGCCGAUGGCAGAUUAGGUAGUUGGUGGGAUAAAAGCUUACCAAGCCGACGAUCUGUAGCUGGUCUGACAGGACGAUCAGCCACAUUGGGACUGAGACACGGCCCAGACUCCUACGGGAGGCAGCAGUGGGGAAUUUUGGACAAUGGGCGCAAGCCUGAUCCAGCAAUGCCGCGUGCAGGAUGAAGGCCUUCGGGUUGUAAACUGCUUUUGUACGGAACGAAAAGCCCCGGGUUAAUACCCUGGGGUCAUGACGGUACCGUAAGAAUAAGCACCGGCUAACUACGUGCCAGCCGCCGCAGUAA